UCCCGCGGCUCCCGUUCAAUCGCUGACUGCCCGGGCGCCCGGCAGCGCAUCCGAACGAACGACACCUCACCGCGAUCGUGUUUACGAACGUUACCCACCAAAUUCAAACUUACCUACAAAACACAACGUGCAGUGCUUUGGAUUUGGAUUCACCCACCUACCCGUUUUCCUUAGUUGGAGUCACUGAGGCUGCAUACAAUACGAUCAUCAUACAGACAUGGCCGCGAACGGAUACGGACCCGCGCCGCCUGGACACAUCGGCCGGAUCCCGAACUACGGGAAAACACAAGUUAAUCCGAUGGGAGGAGUUGAGCCACCAGCAUGUAUACAGAACGCUAUGAUGACAAAGGAUAAGAAACCAUUCACAUAUACCCCAGGUGGUCUGGAUCUAUCCCAAAUUAAAACACCGAGUAUGGCAAGAAGGAUGGCACGACAACGCUCUCAGGAAGAACACGAACAGGCAUAUAGCCAGCAACAACCCAAUAAUAACUAUCAAUCAUAUGGACCAGGCGGUCCAGCCCCACCACCUCCACCACCAAUGAAAAUACCGGCGCCACCUCCUCCCCCACCUCUUGUGAUACAGGCACCUGAUAACAAAUCCCCAAAAACUGUCCCAUUAGGGGAGAGACCAGAAAUCGUAAUCCCUGAAAAUCCAAUUGGUAUGCUUAGGAAAACAAACAGCCCAUACCAUUGGGAAACUGAACAGGCACAAAUGCAGCGUAUGGGCCCUGUUCCCAAAUUCACCGAAAGAGCACCAGUACCAUUAACCGUCAAAAUGCCAGCACAAAAUGCUCCCCAGAACUAUUCUCCACAAAACAAUGUUCAACGACAGAAUUAUCCUUAUGGAAAUCAGAAUCAAUCUCCCGACAGUCCAAUCCACAGGCCUGAGGCACAAUAUGCUCAUCAAAAAAAUGCGUCACCAAACACAAAUGGACCACCGCAAACUCGAGAAUUGCUAGUAAGACAAGAUUCACAAUUUAAUAAAAGUCCUCAACCUUUCGGUAACCAAACGCCUGUCAGCACUGGUUCACCUUAUUCGCCUAGUCCUAAUAACCAUUGGAAGCAACCCGACAAAAGAGAUUCUCCUGUGUAUAGUAACAAUAGUCCACAGACACCGCAAACAAAUCGUGGACCAUUUUCACCGGCUCUCAAACAAAAUGUUCCAAGUUACAACCAACCAGCACCAGCAACACCUAACAAUACAGGGUUCCAUACCCUACCUAGAGCCGGUCAAAGAAGUCAAGAAAACUAUCAAAAUAGUGCCCAAAAUAAUUACAACAACAGUACACCUAACAAUGUUAAAGAAACCCAGCACAGUCCAAACACUGAGGCACCUACAGCACCAUGGCGAACUAGUACCCUAAACAGACAUCCGCGCGAAAACCAACAGACGGCUUAUAAUAAUACGAACGUGAAUCAACAACAGCCGCAGAGACCUGCGUGGAAAGCACAAGAUGCAAACAAUAACCAGACUGAAAGCAACUAUACUCCACCUUGGAAACAAGAGAGCAGAAAUAUGCCUAACCAAGCUAGCAACCAACAACAAUACACUCCACCAUGGGUUUCCCAGGAAACUAACAAUAACAGGGUGGCAGAAACCACAUCACUGCGGGGGCAAGAAAAUACAGGAAGAUCAGUGGCUCCUACAACGCCUCCAGAAACCAGAUAUCAGUCAUCUAUAACGAUGCCAGUAUCGCCAAAGAAACAAACAAGUCAACCCAACUAUAGUAACGCCCAGCCACAGAAAGAAGCAGUCUACGUUAACCAAGAACCUGUGUAUUAUUGUCCUGAUAGUCCGAAGUCGAUACCACCGUGGGUCAAAACACAAAAGGAAAAGACAAAAACGCCGCCUCCAGUCUGGUGCCAGAGACCGUUGGAAGGUAAAGAAAGUGCACAAAGAGAGUUAUACACUCCACCAAGAGAGACAAAUCAAGAGCCAGAGUGGGUAAGGAAAAGUAAUGAAAUGCAACGAGGUGCACGUGAAUUUGUAAGUCCGCCUAAACACCAGCAACAGGCGCAACCAAACUGGUCGACGCUUCCUUCAGAAAACAGAAAAAGUCUUCCGCGAGACGGUAAUCAAGGAAGAAUCAUUCCAAUUCAAAUGGAAGUUUCAAGCACAGAUACAAGAAAUUCGGGUAUGCAAGGAGGAAACCAACCACAUUUGAGGAUUGUCAUUGAUAUGAAGCAAAAUCCCGAUUCACAGAAUGGUACCCAGGCGCCUUAUUCUCAACCAACUCAGCGCAUAAUGAGAGUUUUGUCUCCUCAACUUGUUAGAACGGACGACAACCAAAAUCAGCCUGAUUUGCCAACGUUGAACACCCGAUACCAGAGUAGUCAGGACAGUCAACCAAAGACGCGAAUAAUUCCAAUACAAAUCGAAGGGACUGGCAGUGGUGGGGCAAACAAAAGCUUCGGUGGGCGGUAUUAAGGGAGCUGUUUGCACUGUUCAAAGUAAACAUUUUUUAUAUUGCACCGCUUCUUCGUGAUUCAGUCUGAGUGAUAUAUCACAAAAUUACGCAGGAAGGUCCGCCACGGCAGUCAAAGGCUUUCAAAGUACUGCAGGUUAUCACCGGGACCCAGGAGACGCAGUAAUCUGAAAUUAAGAAAACAAUGAUAAUAAAAAAUAUUAUUAUUUAUCAUUUUUCUCGUAUUCGCAAACACCACGAAGUGUUUGCUCGCAACAUAAAUUUUAUCACAAUUAUGAAAUAUAUCGUAUAAUAUACGAUAUAAUAUCAAAUUAAAUAUAAUAUUAUUAUGGUUUAAUAUUUGAUAUAUUUGAAGUGUAUAACUUAUUAGAAUAAUUUUUGAUUAUAAAAUAAGUAUGUAUUGUUAAAACCGGUUUACCUUUACCUAAAUGAAUCAACGUAACUAACUAUAUUAUAAUGAUCAAAUAACUAUUCAUUUCGUAAACACGAAAAGUGAAAAUAUUUUUAAAAAUCUAUGUUUUUAUAAUAAUUAUACUAUAGAUUUUUUCGCGGGAAAUUAACGAGCUAAAUGUAUAUUUACAAGGCAUAAAAUACUUUGUUUAACUUAUUGUUAUAAAUAAAAAUAUUAAUUAAUUCUCUUAUUUAUUAGAUAGUUAAUUAUUAAGAUUAUUUUAACGUGCUUAAAUUGUGAUCAUACUAAUAAAGCUCAUUUAAAAAGGAAUACGGCUAAUCACCAAAGAUUAAUUAAGAUUUAUUUUUAAUUAACUAAAUUACCUAUCGAUUUAUAUUUAGAUUAAGAAAAUAGUUUAUUUAGAUAAAUAAAAUUACAUGUAAAAUUAAAAGUUACCAUAUGAAUGUAAAUUUAUUCUUAUUUGACAAAAUAAUAAUAAAAUUUAAUUGCGUUAUUAAUUCCCUUUUAUUAUUAUGUAAGUAUAGCUUUUAUAAAUGAAUUAUCACUAACAAAAUUAAUCUUUUUUAUAUUUUGUAUUAUAUUACAAGUAUUCCUUAUUUUUAUCACAUACCUAUAUUUAUUAAUAUCUGCUAUAUAAUAUGUAUUUGUUUCAUAUUACUGAUCUGUAUUUUUAAAAUAUAAUAUAUCAUAAAUAUAUAAAAUUAUACCCAUUAUACUAACAAAUACCUAACAGAUUAACAAAAUUCCGAUCAACGGGUUCCUAUAAUAUUUUAAUAACUCAGUACCCGAUAAUAAUUGUCCUGGUUUGUGUUUGUGAUUAACCAAAACAAUGGAAAUCAUUACUGACGAUUUAUAACAUCACUGAUUGUUAUAAUAAUUAUGUAUAUUCCCCUUGAGAUCUUAUAAUAAAAUUCUGGGGGAAGUUUUUUUUUUACGUUACUCCUCGCAAACUUUUCAUUAACUUUUUUUAAUAAUUUCUAUCGUCAACUUAGUGUUAGAUAUUAUAUACUGACAUCAUACUAAUGGAUAUUAUAUUUUAUAAUUUAUAUUAAAAAAAAUCUUAUUUAUUU